GACGAACGCUGGCGGCGUGCUUAACACAUGCAAGUCGAACGGAAAGGCCCUGCUUUUGUGGGGUGCUCGAGUGGCGAACGGGUGAGUAACACGUGAGUAACCUGCCCUUGACUUUGGGAUAACUUCAGGAAACUGGGGCUAAUACCGGAUAGGAUCUCCUGCUGCAUGGUGGGGGUUGGAAAGUUUCGGCGGUUGGGGAUGGACUCGCGGCUUAUCAGCUUGUUGGUGGGGUAGUGGCUUACCAAGGCUUUGACGGGUAGCCGGCCUGAGAGGGGGACCGGCCACAAUGGGACUGAGAGACGGCCCAGACUCCAACGGGAGGCAGCAGUGGGGAAUAUGGCACAAUGGGCGGAAGCCUGAUGCAGCAACGCCGCGUGCGGGAUGACGGCCUUUGGGUUGUAAACCGCUUUCGCCUGUGACGAAGCGUGAGUGACGGUAAUGGGUAAAGAAGCACCGGCUAACUACGUG
rnacentral:rRNA from 1 species